UUUUAUGAGAGUUUGAUCCUGGCUCAGGACGAACGCUGGCGGCGUGCCUAAUACAUGCAAGUCGAACGCUUCUUUUUCCAACGGAGCUUGCUCCACCGGAAAAAGAAGAGUGGCGAACGGGUGAGUAACACGUGGGUAACCUGCCCAUCAGAAGGGGAUAACACUUGGAAACAGGUGCUAAUACCGUAUAACAAUCAAAACCGCAUGGUUUUGAUUUGAAAGGCGCUUUCGGGUGUCGCUGAUGGAUGGACCCGCGGUGCAUUAGCUAGUUGGUGAGGUAACGGCUCACCAAGGCCACGAUGCAUAGC
rnacentral:rRNA from 1 species